rnacentral:rRNA from 1 species
UACGGAGGGUGCAAGCGUUAUCCGGAUUCACUGGGUUUAAAGGGUGCGUAGGCGGGCAGGUAAGUCAGUGGUGAAAUCUCCGAGCUUAACUCGGAAACUGCCGUUGAUACUAUUUGUCUUGAAUAUUGUGGAGGUAAGCGGAAUAUGUCAUGUAGCGGUGAAAUGCAUAGAUAUGUCUCAGAACACCGAUUGCGAAGGCAGCUGUCUAAGCGGUCAUUGACGCUGAUGCACGAAAGCGUGGGGAUCAAACAGG